UCCUCCAUUACAAAAAGCAUCUUUGCAAUAAUUAUCUGACUAGUUUCUUGAUUGAAGGUAGGUUGGACAGAAAAAUCCAGGACAGCAGAGCUGCAAAAUUUUACUUCUCCUGAGAUCUUAAGCACAGCUGCACAAGCCUUUCAAUAUCACAAUGGUAGCUAGGAUCGGUUUUUCAUGAAGUCUGUGUACAACUUUAAAUCAAACCUGUCCUUAGAUUCACACCAAACAAAGAGGAAAACUACCAGCUAAUGACUGCAGAUUUGAAAAAGAAACAGUUAUCUAUUAAACUGUGAAAACUUAUGCUUGCUGAUUGUCAAAAAACAUGUUGAAAAAUGGUAUCUGCGACUCUUUUUCGUUCUCUUCUUCAAACUUCUCAGUUUUUUCUCAAAGAGAAACCCUUUUUUUCUAUUGUUCACAAUAAAACAGGGAGAAAGAGAAUGCUUAUCUCAUACAUAGCAACAGUAAAAAAACAACAAUAGUAAGGUUAUUAAGAAAAAAGAAUCAUUUCUCUGUAUAAUCAAGCAUGAUGCUCAAGGGUUGCAAUAAGUUCCAGGAUGUCAGCUCCUUUCCCUUCAGUUUCAAAAAUACUCACCAGAAAUAUGGAAUCAAAUCAUAUUGAUUUUCUUUCGCAUUGAUUAGAAAGAACCUAUUUAUCCAUACAAUCAGACAUGAUGCUCAAGCAUUGCAAUAAGUAAAUGCCAUGUCAGCUCUUUUCCCUUCAACUCCAAAUAUACUCAACUAAUUGAAAUAUGGAAUCAAAUGAUAUCAAUUUUAUUUCUCUUUGAUUCAAAAUAUAUUCAACUCACUGAUUCAUGGAAUCAAAUUAUAUGAAUCCAAGAAGAAUGAGAAAAGGCAUCUACUGUUCCAUUCCCGCAAUUGUACUAAACUGGAAACGAAACGGGCUCCCAAUGUCUUGAUUACUUGACAGAAG
rnacentral:lncRNA from 1 species